AGUGGAUGGGGAGCAACCUAGUUGUGCGUGUGUAAAGGUAGUGCCAAGAAAAGCGAUGAUCAUGUUGAAAAUCAAUUCCCGGUACCCGAAACCGACACAGGUGGGCAAGUAGAGAAUACUAAGGGGCGCGAGGUAACUCUCUCCAAGGAACUCGGCAAAAUGACCCCGUAACUUAGGGAGAAGGGGUGCCACCGAGAGGUGGUCGCAGUGAAGAGGCCCAGGCGACUGUUUAGCAAAAACAUAGGUCUCUGCAAACUCGAAAGAGGAGGUAUAGGGGCUGACGCCUGCCCAGUGCCGGAAGGUUAAAGAAGUUGGUCAGUUUUAGGAUGAAGCUAGCGACUGAAGCCCCGGUGAACGGCGGCCGUAACUAUAACGGUCCUAAGGUAGCGAAAUUCCUUGUCGGGUAAGUUCCGACCCGCACGAAAGGCGUAACGAUCUGGGCGCUGUCUCGGAGAGAGGCUCGGCGAAAUAGGAUUGUCUGUGAAGAUACGGACUACCUGCAUUUGGACAGAAAGACCCUAUGAAGCUUUACUAUAGCUUGGAAUUGUGUCAAGGCUUCCUGUGCGCAGAUAGGGGGGAGGCGUAGAAGGUAUUCUUGUGGGGAUACUGGAGCCAACGGUGAGAUACCACUCUCAGGAGGCUAGAAUUCUAACUUAAUUAAGGACAGUUUCAGGUGGGUAGUUUGACUGGGGCGGUCGCCUCCAAAAAGGUAACGGAGGCGUACAAAGGUUCCCUCAGACUGGUUGGAAAUCAGUCGAAGAGUGCAAAGGCAGAAGGGAGCUUGACUGCGAGAAGUACAGUUCGAGCAGGGUGGAAACACGGUCUUAGUGAUCCGACGGUGCUGUGUGGAAGGGCCGUCGCUCAACGGAUAAAAGUUACUCUAAGGAUAACAGGCUGAUCUCCCCCAAGAGUUCACAUCGACGGGGAGGUUUGGCACCUCGAUGUCGGCUCAUCGCAACCUGGGGCGGAAGUACGUCCCAAGGGUUGGGCUGUUCGCCCAUUAAAGCGGUACGUGAGCUGGGUUCAGAACGUUGUGAGACAGUUCGGUCCAUAUCCGAUGUAGGCGUGAGAAUAUUGAGAGGAGCCUUCCUUAGUACGAGAGGACCGGGAAGGACGCACCGCUGGUGUACCUGUUAUGAUGCCAAUCGUAAACGCAGGGUAGCCAAGUGCGGAGAGGAUAACCGCUGAAAGCAUCUAAGUGGGAAGCCCACCUCAAGAUGAGUAUUCUGGUGUAAGGUCACGGGAAGACGACCCGUAAAUAUGCACGAGGUGGAAGUGCAGAGAUGUAUGAAGCCGAAGUGUACUAAUAGACCGUCGGCUUGACC
rnacentral:rRNA from 1 species